UACGUAGGCAGCGAGCGUUGUUCGGAGUUACUGGGCGUAAAGGGUGUGUAGGCGGUUGUUUAAGUUUGGUGUGAAAUCUCCCGGCUCAACUGGGAGGGUGCGCCGAAUACUGAAUGACUAGAGUGCGGGAGAGGUGAGUGGAAUUCCUGGUGUAGCGGUGAAAUGCGUAGAUAUCUGGAGGAACACCGGUGGCGAAGGCGGCAUCCUGGACCGGUAUUGACGCUGAGGCGCGAAAGCUAGGGGAGCAAACGGGG
rnacentral:rRNA from 1 species